UACGUAGGUGGCAAGCGUUGUCCGGAUUUAUUGGGCGUAAAGCGAGUGCAGGCGGCUCGAUAAGUCUGAUGUGAAAGCCUUCGGCUCAACCGGAGAAUUGCAUCAGAAACUGUCGAGCUUGAGUACAGAAGAGGAGAGUGGAACUCCAUGUGUAGCGGUGAAAUGCGUAGAUAUAUGGAAGAACACCGGUGGCGAAGGCGGCUCUCUGGUCUGUUACUGACGCUGAGGCUCGAAAGCAUGGGUAGCGAACAGG
rnacentral:rRNA from 3 species